rnacentral:rRNA from 1 species
GGUUAAGCGACUAAGCGUACACGGUGGAUGCCCUGGCAGUCAGAGGCGAUGAAGGACGUGCUAAUCUGCGAAAAGCGUCGGUAAGGUGAUAUGAACCGUUAUAACCGGCGAUGUCCGAAUGGGGAAACCCAGUGCAAUUCGUUGCACUAUCGUUAACUGAAUACAUAGGUUAACGAGGCGAACCGGGGGAACUGAAACAUCUAAGUACCCCGAGGAAAAGAAAUCAACCGAGAUUCCCCCAGUAGCGGCGAGCGAACGGGGAGCAGCCCAGAGUCUGAAUCAGCUUGUGUGUUAGUGGAACGGUCUGGAAAGUCCGACGGUACAGGGUGAUAGUCCCGUACACCAAAAUGCACAGGCUGUGAACUCGAAGAGUAGGGCGGGACACGUGGUAUCCUGUCUGAAUAUGGGGGGACCAUCCUCCAAGGCUAAAUACUCCUGACUGACCGAUAGUGAACCAGUACCGUGAGGGAAAGGCGAAAAGAACCCCGGCGAGGGGAGUGAAAAAGAACCUGAAACCGUGUACGUACAAGCAGUGGGAGCACCUUCGGGUGUGACUGCGUACCUUUUGUAUAAUGGGUCAGCGACUUAUAUUCUGUAGCAAGGUUAACCGUAUAGGGGAGCCGCAGGGAAACCGAGUCUUAACUGGGCGUUAAGUUGCAGGGUAUAGACCCGAAACCCGGUGAUCUAGCCAUGGGCAGGUUGAAGGUUGGGUAACACUAACUGGAGGACCGAACCGACUAAUGUUGAAAAAUUAGCGGAUGACUUGUGGCUGGGGGUGAAAGGCCAAUCAAACCGGGAGAUAGCUGGUUCUCCCCGAAAGCUAUUUAGGUAGCGCCUCGUGAAUUCAUCUUCGGGGGUAGAGCACUGUUUCGGCUAGGGGGUCAUCCCGACUUACCAACCCGAUGCAAACUACGAAUACCGAAGAAUGUUAUCACGGGAGACACACGGCGGGUGCUAACGUCCGUCGUGAAGAGGGAAACAACCCAGACCGCCAGCUAAGGUCCCAAAGUCAUGGUUAAGUGGGAAACGAUGUGGGAAGGCACAGACAGCCAGGAUGUUGGCUUAGAAGCAGCCAUCAUUUAAAGAAAGCGUAAUAGCUCACUGGUCGAGUCGGCCUGCGCGGAAGAUGUAACGGGGCUAAACCAUGCACCGAAGCUGCGGCAGCGACACUAUGUGUUGUUGGGUAGGGGAGCGUUCUGUAAGCCUGCGAAGGUGUGCUGUGAGGCAUGCUGGAGGUAUCAGAAGUGCGAAUGCUGACAUAAGUAACGAUAAAGCGGGUGAAAAGCCCGCUCGCCGGAAGACCAAGGGUUCCUGUCCAACGUUAAUCGGGGCAGGGUGAGUCGACCCCUAAGGCGAGGCCGAAAGGCGUAGUCGAUGGGAAACAGGUUAAUAUUCCUGUACUUGGUGUUACUGCGAAGGGGGGACGGAGAAGGCUAUGUUAGCCGGGCGACGGUUGUCCCGGUUUAAGCAUGUAGGCUGGUUGUCCAGGCAAAUCCGGAUAAUCAAGGCUGAGGUGUGAUGACGAGGCACUACGGUGCUGAAGUAACAAAUGCCCUGCUUCCAGGAAAAGCCUCUAAGCAUCAGGUAACAUUAAAUCGUACCCCAAACCGACACAGGUGGUCAGGUAGAGAAUACCAAGGCGCUUGAGAGAACUCGGGUGAAGGAACUAGGCAAAAUGGUGCCGUAACUUCGGGAGAAGGCACGCUGGUGUGUAGGUGAAGUCCCUGCGGAUGGAGCUGAGACCAGUCGAAGAUACCAGCUGGCUGCAACUGUUUAUUAAAAACACAGCACUGUGCAAACACGAAAGUGGACGUAUACGGUGUGACGCCUGCCCGGUGCCGGAAGGUUAAUUGAUGGGGUUAUCCGUAAGGAGAAGCUCUUGAUCGAAGCCCCGGUAAACGGCGGCCGUAACUAUAACGGUCCUAAGGUAGCGAAAUUCCUUGUCGGGUAAGUUCCGACCUGCACGAAUGGCGUAAUGAUGGCCAGGCUGUCUCCACCCGAGACUCAGUGAAAUUGAACUCGCUGUGAAGAUGCAGUGUACCCGCGGCAAGACGGAAAGACCCCGUGAACCUUUACUAUAGCUUGACACUGAACAUUGAGCCUUGAUGUGUAGGAUAGGUGGGAGGCUUUGAAGCGUGGACGCCAGUCUGCGUGGAGCCAACCUUGAAAUACCACCCUUUAAUGUUUGAUGUUCUAACGUUGGCCCCUUAUCGGGGUUGCGGACAGUGUCUGGUGGGUAGUUUGACUGGGGCGGUCUCCUCCCAAAGCGUAACGGAGGAGCACGAAGGUUAGCUAAUCCUGGUCGGACAUCAGGAGGUUAGUGCAAUGGCAUAAGCUAGCUUGACUGCGAGCGUGACGGCGCGAGCAGGUGCGAAAGCAGGUCAUAGUGAUCCGGUGGUUCUGAAUGGAAGGGCCAUCGCUCAACGGAUAAAAGGUACUCCGGGGAUAACAGGCUGAUACCGCCCAAGAGUUCAUAUCGACGGCGGUGUUUGGCACCUCGAUGUCGGCUCAUCACAUCCUGGGGCUGAAGUAGGUCCCAAGGGUAUGGCUGUUCGCCAUUUAAAGUGGUACGCGAGCUGGGUUUAGAACGUCGUGAGACAGUUCGGUCCCUAUCUGCCGUGGGCGCUGGAGAAUUGAGGGGGGCUGCUCCUAGUACGAGAGGACCGGAGUGGACGCAUCACUGGUGUUCGGGUUGUCAUGCCAAUGGCACUGCCCGGUAGCUAAAUGCGGAAGAGAUAAGUGCUGAAAGCAUCUAAGCACGAAACUUGCCCCGAGAUGAGUUCUCCCUGAGACUUUAAGUCUCCUGAAGGAACGUUGAAGACGACGACGUUGAUAGGCCGGGUGUGUAAGCGCAGCGAUGCGUUGAGCUAACCGGUACUAAUGAACCGUGAGGCUUAACCUU